UACGGGGGGGGCAAGCGUUGUUCGGAAUUACUGGGCGUAAAGGGUUCGUAGGUGGCCGACUAAGUCAAACGUGAAAUCCCUCAGCUUAACUGGGGAACUGCGUCUGAUACUGGUCGGCUUGAGUGCAGGAGAGGAACGCGGAAUUCCAGGUGUAGCGGUGAAAUGCGUAGAUAUCUGGAGGAACACCGGUGGCGAAGGCGGCAUCCUGGACCAACACUGACACUGAGGAGCGAAAGCCAGGGGAGCAAACGGG
rnacentral:rRNA from 1 species